CCUACGGGUGGCUGCAGUGGGGGAUAUUGGACAAUGGGGGGAACCCUGAUCCAGCGACGCCGCGUGAGUGAAGAAGUCUUUCGGUAUGUAAAGCUCUGUCAGCAGGGAAGAAAGCAAUGACGGUACCUGACCCCGAAGCCCCGACUAACUACGUGCCAGCAGCCGCGGUAAUACGUAGGGGGCAAGCGUUAUCCGGAAUUACUGGGUGUAAAGGGAGCGUAGACGGGUGUGCAAGCCUGGAGUGAAAGGCGGGGGCCCAACCCCCGGACUGCUCUGGAAACUGUAGGGCUGGAGUGCAGGAGAGGUAGGCGGAAGUCGUGGUGUAGCGGUGAAAUGCGUAGAUAUUAGGAAGAACCCCGGUGGCGAAGGCAGCUUACUGGACUGUAACUGACGUUGAGGCUCGAAAGCGUGGGGAGCGAACAGGAUUAGAUACCCUGGUAGUC
rnacentral:rRNA from 1 species